rnacentral:rRNA from 1 species
GAGGAACCAACAGGGCWUGCCUCAGUAACGGCGAGUGAAGCGGCAAUAGCUCAAAUUUGAAAUCUGSUCUUUGAGCCGAAUUGUAAUUUGUAGAGGAUGCUUCGGCUUACGUCUCGGUCUAAGUUCCUUGGAACAGGACGUCACAGAGGGUGAGAAUCCCGUUUGUGGCCGCGACUUCCGCCAUGUGAAGCUCCUUCGACGAGUCGAGUUGUUUGGGAAUGCAGCUCUAAAUGGGAGGUAUAUUUCUUCUAAAGCUAAAUACCGGCCAGAGACCGAUAGCGCACAAGUAGAGUGAUCGAAAGAUGAAAAGCACUUUGGAAAGAGAGUUAAAAAGUACGUGAAAUUGUUGAAAGGGAAGCGCUUGCGACCAGACUUGCCCGCGGAUGCUCAACCGGUCCUUCUGCCGUUGCACUCUUCCGCGGUCAGGCCAGCAUCAGUUCGAGUAGUUAGAUAAAGGCUUAGGGAAUGUGGCUCUCUUCGGGGAGUGUUAUAGCCCUUUGUGCAAUAUAACUCACUUGGACUGAGGCCCGCGCUUCGGCUAGGAUGCUGGCGUAAUGGUCGUAAGCGGCCCGUCUUGAAACACGGACCAAGGAGUCUAACAUCUAUGCGAGUGUUUGGGUGUCAAACCCGUGCGCGAAAUGAAAGUGAACGGAGGUGGGAACCUUAGGGUGCACCAUCGACCGAUCCUGAUGUCUUCGGAUGGAUUUGAGUAAGAGCAUAGCUGUUGGGACCCGAAAGAUGGUGAACUAUGCCUGAAUAGGGUGAAGCCAGAGGAAACUCUGGUGGAGGCUCGCAGCGGUUCUGACGUGCAAAUCGAUCGUCAAAUUUGGGUAUAGGGGCGAAAGACUAAUCGAUC